rnacentral:rRNA from 1 species
GACAGAGGGUGCAAACGUUGUUCGGAAUUACUGGGCGUAAAGCGAGUGUAGGCGGUCUCCUAAGUCGGGUGUGAAAGCCCCGGGCUCAACCCGGGAAGUGCACUCGAAACUGGGAGGCUAGAGUAUCGGAGAGGUUGGUGGAAUUCUCGGUGUAGAGGUGAAAUUCGUAGAUAUCGAGAGGAACACCGGUGGCGAAGGCGGCCAACUGGACGAAUACUGACGCUGAGACUCGAAAGCGUGGGGAGCGAACAGG